rnacentral:rRNA from 1 species
GACGAACGCUGGCGGCGUGCUUAACACAUGCAAGUCGAACGGAAAGGCCUCUUUCGGGGGGUACUCGAGUGGCGAACGGGUGAGUAACACGUGAGUAACCUGCCCUUGACUUUGGGAUAACUUCAGGAAACUGGGGCUAAUACCGGAUAGGAGCUCCUGCUGCAUGGUGGGGGUUGGAAAGUUUCGGCGGUUGGGGAUGGACUCGCGGCUUAUCAGCUUGUUGGUGGGGUAGUGGCUUACCAAGGCUUUUACGGGUAGCCGGCCUGAGAGGGUGACCGGCCACAUUGGGACUGAGAUACGGCCCAGACUCCUACGGGAGGCAGCAGUGGGGAAUAUUGCACAAUGGGUGGAAGCCUGAUGCAGCAACGCCGGGUGCGGGAUGACGGCCUUCGGGUUGUAAACCGCUUUCGCUCAUGACGAAGCUUUGUGUGACGGUAGUGGGUAAAGAAGCACCGGCUAACUACGUG